AAGUUUUACUCUAACAAUCACCGUUGCAACAAGUCCGCCACAGGUGGCUACCUAUGCCAAAGCCAUCAAAGUCACCGUUGAUGGACCGAGGGAGCCACGUUCUAAGACAAGUCCUCCCGGCACUCAUCAAUUUCGAGGUUUGAGCUUGGGCUUUCCAAAUAAUUUUCGUGAAUUCGAUCCAUUACGCACACCAAAGGCUCCGACAGCUUCCAGUACGAGGUUAUCGCAAUUAAGCAGCAAUCACUCAUCGUCGAAUAGUACAAUAAAUGCUGAUUACCAAGACUAUAAACCAAAUGCACCGCAGAUACAAG